AGAGAUUCCUCACUUCUCACUCGUAGACUUACUAUUAAUAAUUCAACAAAAACAACCGCAUCAGUUGAGCUCAAUACCAUCCAUCAUGUCUUAUUAUCCAUUCCAGUUAUAUGUUUUUAGCUUCAUGCAGUUUAUAUUUUUCACUGGGUUUCCUUUUAUAUUAUUUUUAUUCCAAUUUUCUUCAUAUGUAGCAUAGACAAAACAUGUUUCUCAAUAAAGCUAAAUUUUUAGACAUGCACUCAUUAAACAUAGCUAGAAUUUCAACUAAUUUACAUCUUAGUUGGAAAAAUAUCUAAACAGAACAAUGUUGGUUACGAAUUGGAUCUUAAAGGAAACUACAAAAUAAUAAUCAUUUCAAAAUACAAUCUGGGAUUACCCGUGUAAAUCGGGGGAAAAAAUCAAAAAA
rnacentral:lncRNA from 1 species